CACUCCUGCGGGAGGCAGCAGUAGGGAAUCUUCCACAAUGGGUGCAAACCUGAUGGAGCAAUGCCGCGUGAGUGAAGAAGGUCUUCGGAUCGUAAAGCUCUGUUGUUAGAGAAGAACACGUGCUAGGUAACUACUAGCGCCUUGACGGUAUCUAACCAGAAAGUCACGGCUAACUACGUGCCAGCAGCCGCGGUAAUACGUAGGUGACAAGCGUUGUCCGGAUUUAUUGGGCGUAAAGGGAGCGCAGGCGGUCUGUUUAGUCUAAUGUGAAAGCCCACGGCUUAACCGUGGAACGGCAUUGGAAACUGACAGACUUGAAUGUAGAAGAGGAAAAUGGAAUUCCAAGUGUAGCGGUGGAAUGCGUAGAUAUUUGGAGGAACACCAGUGGCGAAGGCGAUUUUCUGGUCUAACAUUGACGCUGAGGCUCGAAAGCGUGGGGAGCGAACAGGAUUAGAAACCCCUGUAGUCCCAUG
rnacentral:rRNA from 1 species